rnacentral:rRNA from 1 species
AUUGAACGCUGGCGGCAGGCCUAACACAUGCAAGUCGAGCGGAUGAAGGGAGCUUUCUCCUGGAUUCAGCGGCGGACGGGUGAGUAAUGCCUAGGAAUCUGCCUGGUAGUGGGGGAUAACGUCCGGACACGGGCGCUAAUACCGCAUACGUCCUGAGGGAGAAAGUGGGGGAUCUUCGGACCUCACGCUAUCAGAUGAGCCUAGGUCGGAUUAGCUAGUUGGUGGGGUAAAGGCCUACCAAGGCGACGAUCCGUAACUGGUCUGAGAGGAUGAUCAGUCACACUGGAACUGAGACACGGUCCAGACUCCUACGGGAGGCAGCAGUGGGGAAUAUUGGACAAUGGGCGAAAGCCUGAUCCAGCCAUGCCGCGUGUGUGAAGAAGGUCUUCGGAUUGUAAAGCACUUUAAGUUGGGAGGAAGGGAAGUAAGUUAAUACCUUGCUGUUUUGACGUUACCAACAGAAUAAGCACCGGCUAACUUCGUG